rnacentral:rRNA from 1 species
AACGAACGCUGGCGGCAGGCCUAACACAUGCAAGUCAAACGGGGUAGCAAUACCUAGUGGCGCACGGGUGAGUAACACGUGGGAAUCUCCCUUUCAGUACGGAAUAACAGCGGGAAACUGCUGCUAAUACCGUAUGGUCCCUUCGGGGUAAAGAUUUAUCGCUGAAAGAUGAGCCCGCGUCAGAUUAGCUAGUUGGUGGGGUAACGGCCUACCAAGGCUACGAUCUGUAGCUGGUCUUAGAGGACGAUCAGCCACACUGGAACUGAGACACGGUCCAGACUCCUACGGGAGGCAGCAGUGGGGAAUAUUGGACAAUGGGGGAAACCCUGAUCCAGCCAUGCCGCGUGAGUGAUGAAGGCCUUCGGGUUGUAAAGCUCUUUAGGGUGGGACGAUAAUGACGGUACCACCAGAAUAAGCCCCGGCUAACUUCGUGCCAGCCGCCGCGGUAA